CGCGUACACGUAAGCGUACGCGUCUGCGUGCGCGUACGCGGGUGAUGAAGGGAAGGGCGUCCAGCCACACGAUACGCGCACACGUGCGCGCUUCGCUGCGCGUAGCACAGGGCUGACAGACCAGCGGCCCAGCGAUGGCGGAAACGGUCGUCUUUGGCUUUGAGAAAAGUUUAUCUUUAAUUUCAUUAUGGCUAGCCAUUUUUAUUUAACUUAUCAAUGUUAGAGCUAGUACAUUGUUUUUAAGUUGAUAAAUCACGCUGUUCCUAUAUAUACAUCCUUAUGUCAAGAAAAGCUACGUCAAUUAUCAACAUCACGCGCGAUAGCGUCUGCUUGCUCACAACUGCAGCUGACAUCUGCGCGCGACCACGCCCGACGUUGCUGCCGAGCUCUUGCUUAGCCGCUUGCUUCGCCGGCAUCAGCGUUCUCUCCGCGCAAUGUACACCACAUGAGAAAGAAGCUUUUGCUGCUGCUGCUCUUGCAAAGGCGGCGGGAGCGCAGAAAGCGUCUGCGGCCUCUGCGGCGACGUUGGUGGGUCCGCCCAGUCUUUCAACUGCGUAAAGAAGAAGGACUUUACGGCUAUGCAACGGAUACGUCAGGAUGACCACGGAUUUUUCUACAAGUUCUUUCGCAAGGCGCCGCAGCUCUUGGACAAGCUAUUGAGCUUUUUAGCAGAGGACCUCACACGGCAGCACCACAUUCGAGAAACCCCUGGAGCCUGGAGAAUGACUUGCUGUAGCAUUGAGAAGCAAUGCUUCCUAACAUAUCCAGCCUACGACUGCCUGCUGAAGCCAGCGAUGCUCCUGACUGCGGACUGCUGUGGUGUGCCUCAGAAUCCUCAGGAACCAGAACUUCUUGAAACAUCAGUGAUUCAAGAGAUUCCAAAAUGUCCUGAGACUCCACAGACUCAUGCGACGCCGAAGACAGAGUCGAUGCUGGCGCUUGUGACUCUUCACUUCACGGUGAUGGCGCUUCAAGUGUUGCCAGAUCGGAAAACUGGCACAUUUUUUGUUAAGAUGUCUGCAGCACUUCCCUCCUCACUCG